UACGUAGGGACCGAGCGUUGUCCGGAAUCAUUGGGCGUAAAGAGCGUGUAGGCGGCCACUUAAGUCUUGCGUGAAAUCUUGCGGCUCAACCGCAAGCGGUCGUGGGAAACUGGGUGGCUAGAGUGCGGGAGAGGAGAGUGAAAUUCCUGGUGUAGCGGUGGAAUGCGCAGAUAUCAGGAAGAACACCCGUGGCGAAGGCGGCUCUCUGGAACGCAACUGACGCUGAGACGCGAAAAGCGUGGGGAGCAAACAGG
rnacentral:rRNA from 1 species